AACAGUUGGGAGAGCCUUGGUUUUCUGCCUGUUCUUCAGCUGAUGAGAUGGUGAUCCAGACUAGCUGGUGGCUGCGGGCUUUCCCCACGACACAGAUGAGGAAAGUAAAGCAUACAAAGUUGAAUGAACCAUCUGAAGUUAGAGUCAGCUGGAGGAAAAUCUGGGAUUCAAAUCCAAGCAGCCUGGUUCCGGAAUCCGUGCUCUGCUGGGGUGACUUUCACAGAAUCCGUGCACCUCUCAUUGCCCAACAGAGACUCUAUGCUCCUCAUAGUUGCUACUCCUUACGGAAAGCUCUCCCAGGUCUACUGGCAGGAUGAUUUCUGGCUGUGGGGUACACCCGGCUGAACCAUGGGUAAAGAAUCCAAGGAUCACAAAUGUAGGAGUGAGGACAGAGAAAUCCAAAGGAAGGCUCAGAACCUUGGACAGAGGAAAUCAGUACUAGACACACACCGGGAAAGGUGAUGGAAACGCUGAGCCCCAGGAGCUAGGGGCUCGCAUGGAGGCAGCCCUGCAACACAGAAUGUACUCCAUGGCAUACUUGUGGCCUGUGAGGCGACAGGAGUCACCCACAGACAGAAACGCAGCAGUCUGGAAUUCAAAGAUACAGGGGAUACAGGAAUAUCAGAGCUCUUUUUGGAGAGAUGGGAAGAGGGAUAUAGUAGCCAAUGAGAUAGAUGGUGCUUGACCUCAUUGAAGUUUCAAAAAAGGAAAAUGAACAGAUCUUAUAAUCAAAGCUGGGUGAUUUUAUCAUUUGACCGAGCAAGGUCACUUUUGUGACUCUGUCCUAAGAAAAUAAUUCAAGGUGAGAAAGCUGAGGUUGAGCAAGUUCGUUCUGGCAUGUUAUAGAGGUGAUCCGUGUACUGAACCCUGUGUGCUCUCUUCUUUUUGCUUGGAGAUGAAGGGCUGAAAUAUUUAGCCAUAAUUCCAAGUGAUUCACUAUUUUGUUUGCAUUCUACAAGUACUUGACAACCCCAAAGUCGAACCCCAUGAGGUUAGUUUUAUUUGCUUCUUGGUUUUUAAUCAAGGGAUAUGUCUUAGGGAAUAUUAAGUUCUUCUUUGGCUAACAAACCUCCCCGGGCUUGCCGUGGCGUGAAGUCUGAGCCUCCAUGGAUUUGUUCACUGCCUGUGUUAUCUCCCUCCCACCCAAGGCAAGCUCUCUUCCUGCCUCUGUGCCUUUUUCUCACCAAAAUCUGCCUCUCUCUUAUUCCUCCUCUUCCAUGUUCUACACAUUCCCCUAGUCCAAGGUCCAAUCCUGCUCCCUCCUUUCCAUCUGCUCAGAGCCUAUGCAGCCAAGCUCAGAGCUUGGAACUUUGACCCUUUGUUCUCCAUGCAGAGUGUACCACCUGGGUUGUCCCAUCAAAUCCCACAAACCACCCUGAUUCUAUGACUCUCAUUUUCCAGAAGAAGAGAUUGGCUCCAUCUUCAAUGGAAGCACUGAGUCCAAGCCUAGUGUGUGAGCCUUGUGCUGCCAUUCUCAUGCUUCAUGCCUAACAGCCUUGGCUCUCUCACUGGACUGCACAUUCCUUAAAUUUGUUGAGCAUAGGAAUGGAACAGUGUAGAACUAACAUGUGGCUACCAACAGCGCAGUCCUUAAGACACAAAGCCCAUGCUCUGAUAGAUUUCCUUCCCAUCACAAACCCAGCUUCUGCAGAAACAGCAGCCUCAUGGGGCAGGAGACUGACACUGUAAAUAUUUCACAUUCCCAAUAAGGAGCAAAGACCAGAGUGUCCCUUGCCCUCUCUGUUUCUAUCUUCCCCGUGUUAUUUCCCUCCCACCUAAAGCAAGUUCUACAAGUACUGAGAUUCCAUGGAAGCUUAUUUAGUUCGAUUCUUGAGCAGCAUGACUUUCUUCAGGACUUCAGUUAUUAUUGUUCAUCUAAAAUAUUUAUUGAUACGGUUAUAUUACUAGGUGCUACAACGUGAUGAUGUAAAAAAAGGGGAUGCA